AUACUUGUCAUUGGCUAAUGUUGGAUUGAAAAUCCGCGUGUCGCUGGUUCGAUUCCGGCUCUGGGCACCA
rnacentral:tRNA from 1 species